rnacentral:lncRNA from 1 species
UAGGCUUUCCUACUUCUGUGCUACCAACCAACACGCAAAAAACAAAAAGGGAGAGAGAGAAAGGGGGCCACGGCAGGAAGCAAGAUUGCUAUGUGACAACACACAACAAUAACCAGCAAAUUUUUACUAUCUCUACUUUCACCACAAAUUUACAUGGCAAAGUAAACCAAGAAAACACAUUUACAUAUUUCCGGUUGCUGUAACCUGAGAUUUGAUUUACACUCUGAAGCUCCUCACCCAGUGAGGAUGCAAC